GUGGUUGGAAAGGCUGAUGGGAUCUUGAAGUGCCUGGCUGGACUUGGGAGUUGGAAGCAGCUAUAAAUGGGGACAUUUGCUUGGCUCACUGGCUAAUGAGUGAAGGAUCGCCAAGAGAAAUAACAUUUCAGCGGAAUUUCCUUAAUGAUUGGCACAGUUCAUUAAGAGAAGAAACAAAACUGGAGAUACCCUUGGGGAGAGGCUGGGGGAUGGGAGGGUCAGAUCAUGGAGGUGGGAGUCCUGGCUCAAAGGAAUGUGGCUUUCACACAAUUAGGUGUUUGAAGGAAGACAGAGCUUGGACACAGCUGAAUAAUUUUGGCUAAUUGAGAUUUGCAUGGGUCAAGGACCAGAGGUCUUGCUGCUGUUAAAGCAGGACGACAUCCGUUAUGGGAUCCCUGGAUGAACAGUGGCCCAUGUGUGCCUCAGGACAAUGGAGAGUGGUGUCUCCCUGACAAAGAACAGCUUUCACGGGAGACGCCCUUCCACCUUUAUCCCAGCUGGGGACUCUCCGUGGUGGAUCUGAUGGCCUCAAACUUACCCAAGUGGACUCACAACUAAUAAGUCUCCAUUGCUGUCCUUCUCUAGGAGUGAGAACUAAUGAUGCCUCUAUCCCCUGCUGUCGUGUGUUCGUCAAGGGUACUAUCUUUGUAAGAUGUGCUUCUGAGAGUCAGAGGAGCUCCCAUGAGGGCAUUCACCAUUCCAUGUUUUGGUUGUAAAAACGGCUGACCACUGCUUUAAAUGUUUUACUACAGACAGUAUGGAUUUUUGUCUACCAGUACUGGUGUGCAAUUCAUUCAUAGUCAUUAGAGACGCAUUGCUAUAAAGAAAUAUCUGAGACUGGAGGCCGGACGCGAUGGCUCACACCGGUAAUCCCAGCACUUUGGGAGUCCGAGGCGGGCAGAUCACCCGAGGUUGGGAGUUUGAGACCAGUCUGACCAACACGGUGAAACCCCAUCUCUACUAAAAUACAAAAAAUUAGCCGGGCAUGGUGGCGCAUGCCUGUAGUCCCAGCUACUCAGGAGGCUGAGGCAGGAGAAUCGAUUGAACCCAGGAGGCGGAGGUUGCAGUGAGCCGACAUCACCCCACUGCACUCCAGCCUGGUGACAGAGCAAGACUCCAUCUCAGAAAAAAGAAAAGAAAAGAAAAGAAAUAUCUGAGACUGGAUUGGUCAGGACAAUUGUGUAAGUGUCUGAAGAACCAUCUGGGGCUCCUUCAACAACUCAACAAGAGCUGGGUUCCUAUGAGGUCAUGGAGACCAGGAGAGCAUACAGUUUGUAUCUGCCAUUGAGGAGCCACUAUUCUUGGGCAGACUCCUUCGUGAAGAGCAGGAGGGGCCAGAAUUGAAUGCUUUCUUAGGACAUUUCACCACUGCUAUCCAUCCAUGCAAAUGUGGUUAUAUGGAAGUUAUUUUGUGUUAAAGAGAAGAUUGGGAGCAUUGGAAAAGGUUUUUUGCAUGUCUGACACCAAUGGCUCCACCUGGACCCGAUGGCUCCGCCUGGACCUGCCAAACUCCUCCUAUGGUUCCACCCAGGAACAACUCAGCUCAAGAAGACAGUUUCAACCACCUAUGAUUUCAUCUCCAUCUCAACCAAUCAGCAGUAAGCAACCAUUUCCUACUCACUCCCACCCCUUUCCCAAACUGCCUUUGGAAAAUCUCUAACCUAGGAGCCUUCAAAGAGAUUGAGUUGAGUAGUAAUAACUC